CGAAUACACAUCAUCCCCUUCAUCAUUAGUUUGGCUUGUAUAACACUUUCCCCAAUUUCUCAAAACUGACCACAAGUCCCUUAUCUUCUCCCAUGUUUUGACUUUCUUCUUCCAAACUCUCUUUUUUGUGAGCUUGGGAUCAGUCCUUGAUCUUCCAUUAUAAGAUCUAGCGCUUGGGUGAUUUAUUUGAGGCCUUUAGCAAGUGUGAUUUAGUGUGAAGUUUGAGGGAUUAUUGAGAAGCUCGUGGCCAUCUUUGAAGAUCUUAAAGAUUGGUGGUUGAUCUCUAGUCUUCUUUAUCUCCUUUUUGCUAUAUUUGUUAAAGCUUCUAUUCAAGAGGUACAUGUGAUAUGCCUCCGCCAAGGCACUGACUUGGGGGGACUCGGAGCUGAGGCUUCAUUUUUGUUUUAUUGUUAUUUGUUGAAUGUAAACCCAGGGCUGUAUUUGCGUUGAGUUGAAACUUCAUUUGUGUAACCAAGAAUGUUCUUUGAUAAAUUUGCAAACUUGUAGGGCACUCAUUAUUUGUUUGGCUUCCAUUUCA